GACGAACGCUGGCGGCGUGCUUAACACAUGCAAGUCGAACGGAAAGGCCCUGCUUUUGUGGGGUGCUCGAGUGGCGAACGGGUGAGUAACACGUGAGUAACCUUCCCUUGACUUUUGGAUAACUUCAGGAAACUGUGGCUAAUACCGGAUAGGAGCUCCUGCUGCAUGGUGGGGGUUGGAAAGUUUCGGCGGUUGGGGAUGGACUCGCGGCUUAUCAGCUUGUUGGUGGGGUAGUGGCUUACCAAGGCUUUGACGGGUAGCCGGCCUGAGAGGGUGACCGGCAACAUUGGGACUGAGAUACGGCCCAGACUCCUACGGGAGGCAGCAGUGGGGAAUAUUGCACAAUGGGCGGAAGCCUGAUGCAGCAACGCCGCGUGCGGGAUGACGGCCUUCGGGUUGUAAACCGCUUUCGCCUGUGACGAAGCGUGAGUGACGGUAAUGGGUAAAGAAGCACCGGCUAACUACGUG
rnacentral:rRNA from 1 species